AGGGAGACACAGAAUCUGAAGCAGGCUCCAGGCUCUGAGCUGUCAGCACACAGCCCGAUGCGGGGCUCGAGCUCACGAGCUGUGAGAUCAUGACCUGAGCUGAAGUUGGAUGUUCAACCUACUGAGCCACCCAGGCGCCCCGCCAUGGCCGUUUUUAUUAUGGUUGUCUUCCUUCAGGACUCUCCUGGGGUCAACGAAAAUAAUAGUUUGCUGGAAUCUCUAUUUUUAAUCCGGAAUUAUGAUAUCCACCCACACAGAAAGAAGACAUCAUGACUAGUGCCACCAUGAGCCACUGUUCGCUUUGGUGUUGGCCACCCUACUGCUCUCUGGGACAUAGGAAGACAGCCUCCUGAACUGGCAGCAAUUGAGGAUAUAGAUGGACAAACCUCAAUUUCCUUUACUCCUUUGGCUCCUGUUUCCACUUAGCACAGAUGUUCUAUAAAGAAUUAUAAGAGUCCCUGGAGUUCUUGCCAAGAAGAUGCUGUUGAGGUCUACAUUAUCUACUACUCAUUGAUUGCUGAAAAUAUAAUCAUCAACUCAAUCAGAAAAUUUCAUUAAAAACCAAACAGAUGAAACAAUUUGACUAACUCUUCUUUGAGCUACAGAAGAAAAAGAACAUCUAUUAGAAAAAUAAACAGCAAUCAUGAAUAAAGUAUCUUGUUUUUAAUCUAGUCUUUUUAUAAGAUUGUCUCUAUUUCUAAAUUGUAGUUAUUCAU